rnacentral:rRNA from 1 species
AACGAACGCUGGCGGCAUGCCUAACACAUGCAAGUCGAACGAGACCUUCGGGUCUAGUGGCGCACGGGUGCGUAACGCGUGGGAACCUGCCCUUAGGUUCGGAAUAACUCCCCGAAAGGGGUGCUAAUACCGGAUAAUGUCUUCGGACCAAAGAUUUAUCGCCUUUGGAUGGGCCCGCGUUGGAUUAGCUAGUUGGUAGGGUAAAAGCCUACCAAGGCGACGAUCCAUAGCUGGUCUGAGAGGAAGAUCAGCCACACUGGGACUGAGACACGGCCCAGACUCCUACGGGAGGCAGCAGUGGGGAAUAUUGGACAAUGGGCGAAAGCCUGAUCCAGCAAUGCCGCGUGAGUGAUGAAGGCCUUAGGGUUGUAAAGCUCUUUUACCCGGGAUGAUAAUGACAUUACCGGGAGAAUAAGCUCCGGCUAACUCCGUG